rnacentral:hammerhead_ribozyme from 1 species
ACCCAGCUGACGAGUUCUAAAUAGGACGAAACGUGCGUGCUGGAU